AGCUCCUGACAAUGGGUAAAGAGACACCUUGUUGGUGGUGCUGUUUGUAUACCAGUCACGGGCAGAGCAGAUGACAGUCCUUUGUUCAUUCUAGCUUGAUGUCUGGCUUGGUGGCCAACGUUGUCUUAUGCCUGGGACUCAUAA